AACUAUUUAGUAUACAAGUAUAGGCAAUUUCCAAUUGUCAGGGAAUAUAGUUA
rnacentral:tRNA from 1 species